rnacentral:rRNA from 1 species
UACGAAGGGGGCUAGCGUUGUUCGGAAUUACUGGGCGUAAAGCGCACGUAGGCGGAUAUUUAAGUCAGGGGUGAAAUCCCAGAGCUCAACUCUGGAACUGCCUUUGAUACUGGGUAUCUUGAGUAUGGAAGAGGUAAGUGGAAUUGCGAGUGUAGAGGUGAAAUUCGUAGAUAUUCGCAGGAACACCAGUGGCGAAGGCGGCUUACUGGUCCAUUACUAGACGCAUGACGGUGGCGAAAGCGGUGGGAGCAACUGGGAUCAACAAACCCGAUGGUGAAC